rnacentral:snoRNA from 1 species
GGAUCGAUGAUGAGUCCUACAAAAAAAAAAAAAAAAAAAACAUUCCUUGGAAAAGCUGAACAAAAUGAGUGAAAACUCAUACCGUCGCUCUCAUCGGAACUGAGGUCC